rnacentral:rRNA from 1 species
GAUGAACGCUGGCGGCGUGCCUAAUACAUGCAAGUCGAGCGAACAGACGAGGAGCUUGCUCCUCUGACGUUAGCGGCGGACGGGUGAGUAACACGUGGAUAACCUACCUAUAAGACUGGGAUAACUUCGGGAAACCGGAGCUAAUACCGGAUAAUAUAUUGAACCGCAUGGUUCAAUAGUGAAAGACGGUUUUGCUGUCACUUAUAGAUGGAUCCGCGCCGCAUUAGCUAGUUGGUAAGGUAACGGCUUACCAAGGCAACGAUGCGUAGCCGACCUGAGAGGGGGGACGGCCCAACUGGGACUGGGAAACGGGCCCAACACCCAAGGGAGGGAAGAAGAGGGGAACUUCCGCAAUGGGGGAAAGGCUGACGGAGGAACGGCGGGUGAGGGAAGAAGGGUUUCGGGUCGGAAAAAUCUGUUAUUAGGGAAAAAAAAAUGUGUAAGGAAACAUGCCCGUCUUGACGGUACCUAAAAAGAAAGCCCCGGGUAAAUACGUG